UUCGGGAACUGUGAGACAGGCGCUGCAUGUACUGUCGUCAGCUCGUGUUGUGAAAUGUUGGGUUAAGUCCCGCAACGAGCGCAACCCUUAUCCUUUGUUGCCAGCGGUUCAGGCCGGGAACUCAAAGGAGACUGCCAGUGAUAAACUGGAGGAAGGUGGGGAUGACGUCAAGUCAUCAUGGCCCUUACGACCAGGGCUACACACGUGCUACAAUGGCAUAUACAAAGAGAAGCGACCUCGCGAGAGCAAGCGGACCUCAUAAAGUAUGUCGUAGUCCGGAUUGGAGUCUGCAACUCGACUCCAUGAAGUCGGAAUCGCUAGUAAUCGUAGAUCAGAAUGCUACGGUGAAUACGUUCCCGGGG
rnacentral:rRNA from 1 species